rnacentral:lncRNA from 1 species
AGAAGUAGCAGGUCCGGAAACCACAACUACACCCAUAACAACCUCCUCCGAUCAAAGCCGAAACAAAGAAAAGAUGAGACGGUACUGAGUAGGAAAAAGGGAAAACUGUAUGUAUGUUGAAUUCAGAGAAACAAAUUCCUGAAAAGGAGAGGCGACAUUUCUGAUACAAUGUGGAGCGGCGAUUGUUUAUACCUCCGCCCUGGCUAUAGUAUUAAUUAAUUAUAAUAAUUAAGCGAGAAAAACGAAGCAAAAGAAAUUUCAAAAGGGGAUUUGUGUUGUGGGUAAAGUUGAAAGAAAGAGGUGAAGGAAACAGAGAGCGAUGAGUUGUGCUG